AUGGUUUGAGGAGAUCUACGACAUAUCUCGAGAUUCUUCAAGGAGUUAGUUGGAGGUUUUAGUUUGUUAGGUGAUGGUUUAGGCGAGGUUUGAAAAUAGUUAAAAAAGUCGUGUUUCCAUCGCAUAAGUUUAUAUUAUUGGUGACUUAUUAUUGCAGGUAGUUGUUGGUUAUUGUUGGAUGUCAGUUGGAUUAUUGUAGAUUUGCUUUCGAGGUUGGUAAGUUUCGGAAGUAGGUGGGCAAAACCGAUGUUUUGAGUAUUUUAGGUGCACUUUGGUAUGGUAUAGAUGAGUCGGUUAGUUUAGUAAAUUCAUAUAGAUUUAUACUGACACUCGAUGUGUAUGUCUAUGUUCAUAUGGUGCCUAGAGGCAUUGGUGGAGUCACGAAAUUAAGUGUAUUUGAUAUAUAGGUGGGUGC
rnacentral:lncRNA from 1 species